CGUAGGGGACAAGCGUUAUCCGGAUUUACUGGGCGUAAAGCGCCCGUAGGCGGCUUGACAAGUUGGAUGUGAAAGCUCCCGGCUUAACUGGGAGAGGUCAUUCAAAACUGUCAGGCUAGAGGAUGGAAGAGGAGAGCGGAAUUCCCGGUGUAGUGGUGGAAUGCGUAGAGAUCGGGAGGAACACCAGUGGCGAAAGCGGCUCUCUGGUUCACACCUGACGCUGAGGGGCGAAAGCGUGGGGAGCGAACGGGAUUAGAUACCCCGGUAGUCCACGCUGUAAACGACGGAUACUAGGUGUAGGGGGUCAUUAACCCCCUCUGUGCCGCAGCAAACGCGUUAAGUAUCCCGCCUGGGGAGUACGGCCGCAAGGUUA
rnacentral:rRNA from 1 species